rnacentral:sRNA from 2 species
AACUAACGCUAUAUAAGUAUCAGUUUCUGUACUUUAUUGGUAUGCGAAACUUCCGGAACCUGUCUUCCGGCAAGAUUUUGGAAGCGCGCAAGCGCUAUUUUUUUUUGUGUGCGUGCGUGUGGUGGUGGCGGCGCCCCCCUGCUGUCCGGCGGGUGGCGCGGCUCCCGUGGCGGUGGCCACGCCGCACUGCAAGGGUGCGCCCGCGCCGCUGGGGGCCACGGGGCCGCGGAGCAGGCGUCCCCCGAGCGCCGCGGCCCAGGAGCAACGCGGCCGCGGUGUGCGUGCGCGCGGCCGCCUCCGUCCCGCGGGCGCUGCCGGCGAGUGUGUGUCGGGGGCGCGGCACCGCCUGGCCCGUGGGGAGCGCGGUGGGCAUGACACGCGGCGGUGGGCAUGACACGCGGCGGCGUGCGCGGGGAACGGCCACCCCCCAGCGCCGGGCUGCGGUGGUGAUGGCUUUU